GCUGGGCGUGGUGGCUCACGCCUGUAAACCCAGCAUUCUGGGAGGCUGAGGCAGGAGGAUCACUUGAGGUCAGGAGUUCGAGACCAGCCUGGCCAACAUGGUGAAAUCCUGUCUCUA
rfam:Pan troglodytes isolate Yerkes chimp pedigree #C0471 (Clint) chromosome 18, whole genome shotgun sequence.